rnacentral:rRNA from 1 species
UAUCUCUGUAGAGUCUGCAUAUCAAUAAGCGGAGGAAAAGAAACUAACUAGGAUUCCCUUAGUAACGGCGAGUGAAGCGGGAAGAGCUCAAAUUUGAAAUCUUCAAGGUUUUACCUUGACGAAUUGUAGUUUAUAGAAGUGUUUUCUGUAGUGGAGUUUGGUAAAAGUUCUUUGGAAUAGGACAUCAUAGAGGGUGAGAAUCCCGUAUUUGGAUCCAUUAUUUCCUAGCGUUGUGAUACACUUUCAAAGAGUCGGAUUGUUUGGGAAUGCAGUCCAAAAUGGGUGGUAAAUUUCAUCUAAAGCUAAAUAUUGGCGAGAGACCGAUAGCGAACAAGUACCGUGAGGGAAAGAUGAAAAGAACUUUGAAAAGAGAGUUAAACAGUACGUGAAAUUGUCAAAAGGGAAGCGUUUGACACCAGUGUUGUUUUCUCGAAAAUCAAUUAAAAAUGGCUGGAUUUUGUGUUGUAUUGACUUUAUCAGCUUUCUGCACUUUUUUCCUGUCUUUUUUAAUGCACUUUUCGUUUAACAAGUCAACAUCAAUUUCUUUUGUUGUAAAAGGGUCAUUGGAAGGUGGCUUUCUUUUCGGAGAAAGUGUUUAUAGCCUUUGGCCUCUGCAAUCGGAGAGAUUGAGGUCUGCAGCGUAGAUCCUUCGGGGUUAGAUACAUUUGUGCUAAGUUAUAGCCUUUCAUAGACAACUUGUUGACUAUGAUCAGUCAUGUAGCUUACUCGCUUAUGCUAUUUUACCUACGCUUAGGAUGUUGAGUCAUCACACAUCUCU